rnacentral:tRNA from 1 species
UCUCUCGUAGCUUAGUGAUCAAAGCGUCGGUUCGUAAAGCCAAAGGUCCCGGGUUCGAUUCCCGGCGGGGGUG